rnacentral:tRNA from 1 species
GCUGUCGUAGCUCAGUUGGUAGAGCAGCCGCCUUGUAAGCGGCAGGUCGUCGGAUCAUAUCCGACCGGCAGCUCGA